rnacentral:rRNA from 1 species
CGGUGGAGCAUGUGGUUAAUUCGAUGCAACGCGAAGAACCUUACCUGGGCUUGACAUCCCGGGAAUCCCUUGGAACAAGGGAGUGCCCUUCGGGGAACCUGGAGACAGGUGCUGCAUGGCUGUCGUCAGCUCGUGUUGUGAGACGUAGGGUUAAGUCCCGCAACGAGCGCAACCCUUGUCUUAGUUGCCAUCAUUAAGUUGGGCACUCUAAAGAGACUGCCGAUGACAAAUCGGAGGAAGGUGGGGAUGACGUCAAAUCAUCAUGCCCUUUAUGUCCUGGGCUACACACGUGCUACAAUGGAUGGUACAGAGAGCAGCGAGGCAGCGAUGUGGAGCGAAUCUCAAAAAGCCAUUCUCAGUUCGGAUUGGAGUCUGCAACUCGACUCCAUGAAGUCGGAAUCGCUAGUAAUCGCGAAUCAGCAUGUCGCGGUGAAUGCGUUCCCGGGCCUU